GACGAACGCUGGCGGCGUGCUUAACACAUGCCAGUCGAACGGUAAGGCCCCUUCGGGGGUCCACGAGUGGCGAACGGGUGAGUAACACGUGAGCAACCUGCCCUUGACUCUGGAAUAACAGUUGGAAACAGCUGCUAAUACUGGAUAUUCAUCGUCUCCUUCCUGGGGGGUGGUGGAAAGCUCCGGCGGUCAGGGAUGGGCUCGCGGCCUAUCAGCUUGUUGGUGAGGUAAUGGCUCACCAAGGCUUCGACGGGUAGCCGGCCUGAGAGGGCGACUGGCCACACUGGGACUAAGAUACGGCGCAGACUGCUACGGGAGGCAGCGGGGGGGAAUAUUGCACAAUGGGCGCAAGCCUGAUGCAGCAACGCCGCGUGCGGGAUGACGGCCUUCGAGUUGUAAACCGCUUUCAGUAGGGACGAAGGGUGACUGACGGUACCUACAGAAGAAGGACCGGCUAACUACGUG
rnacentral:rRNA from 1 species